ensembl:lncRNA
GUCCAGCCACCCGGCUUCCACCCCCCCCCCCUCCCCUCCCGGAGGUUCAAGUUUCUGCGCCCGGAGGACGCGGCCUCGGCCAAUCCCCGGGCUACAGGGCGCUUUUAAAAUGCAGCGUGUUUACGGCGUGCCUGCUGCUAGCUGGUCGGAGGGGGGCGUCCCUCCCCCGGGACCCGCGACGAGAUAAAACCCGCGCACUCGACCGUGAGCCGCCAAGGCCUGCGGCGCGCGCCCGCGCAGCAGCUGAUGUCCCCAUUUCCAGUUGCUCAACCCUUCGUUGGACAACUGCGCACCCAGCACCUUCUCUACACCAGUCCUGUUUCAGACGCCCUCCCUGCCCGCCCCCCCCCCCCCCGGGCGCGGGGAGGUGGUUCUUCGGGGCACGACAGCAGAGGUCACUGCCCUCUGGGGGGACGUUGCACUCUGUGGGGAGGACUAGAGAGAAGAUAAUAAACACUAGAUAACCAUGAGAUUGUAAUAAGCGCUGUGUAGGGAUUAGGACCAGCUGCUGUCACAGAAAGUGGUAAUCAGUUACUUUAGAUCCCGUGGUCAAGGAGGACCUCUCCGGAGGUGCAUCUAAGCCGGGACCUGAGCAGAAAGGACAAAGAUAAGGGGGAAGGGCACUCCAGGCAGAGGGAGUAGUAAUGCAGAGGCCCUAGGGUUGGCCUGUUACUGGCCUGUCCAAGCAAGGCCAGUGGGCCUGGGAAUGGGCCAGGGAAGGGGUGAGGGAUGAGGUCAGAGGGGCCAGAUCAUGCAUGAUUCUAGGGCAGCUGGGAAAGCAGUGGGGGGUUAGCACCAGGCAACAUGACCUGAUUUACCUUUUAAGAGGCUCACUCUAGCCCAUAUGUGGAGAAGGGAAGGGGGGAGGUGCUUGGAGAGGUCCAGAUUCAGUCCUUUAUUCCCCACCCAUCCACCCCUCUCUCCAGGUAGAUAUUCAGGAGGGGAUGGUGGGGAGAGGAUGACUCCAAGGAGCAUAGCUUUGAGCUAUGCUUUUGCUGAGUGAAUGCACGACCCGUCAGCACAUGACCAAUUGAAUCUGAGCCCCUCAUUUUGAAGAUAAGGAAACUGAGCCCCAGAAGGGAAAUGACUUCCCCAAGGCCACUUUUUGUUCAUUGAUUCACUGAACACACAUAGAAUAAUUAGGUAAGAAUUUAUACACAAAAGCAUGUGUAUAUGCAAUCAUCUACACAACCCUGGGUUAGGCUCUACGGAAUGAGCCAACCAGGCCCCCUGAGUCAAAUCUUGAAGAGUGAGUAGGAGUUUGCCAGAUUUUGGAGGAGGGAGGAGAGGGGUUGGGAUAGUCCCAGGGGAGGGAACAACAUAAGUCAGGACCCCAGAAGUAGGUGAUGGUAAGCUGCAAAAGGGGGGGUGUCAGAGGGAGGUGAGGCUAGGAGCCAGGGUUCGGAGGGCUCUGUGAGCUGCGGGGAGAAGCGUGUGUGGCCUCUCCCUGGGGCUGAUAGUUAGCAACAGCAACAACAGGAAUAAUACUCACCACCACUGGCCACUUACCCUGUACUCAGUAUGAGCCAGGACUCUAGGCCAGCCCUCCUGUGAUGAUCAUAACCACUCUAUAAGAGGGGGUCAUUAGCUCUUUGAGGAUUUAAUGUCAGUUCCUGUCGGCUUGCUUGUCUCCACGAAGCUCGGAUCCCCGUGUGAAUUCAUGGGCGGAGUACAGGGGCGUGUAGACUCCCAAGGACUCUGGGACAGCCAGGGGAAGGUUGUGUGGCAGCUGAGUGUUUCUGCAGGCCAGCACAAGUGAUGGUGGCUGAUGGGCCUGGGGCCGGACUCUGGGGUUUCUUCUCUGCCCACCCUGGGGGGCCCCAAAACAGGGGAAGGCACCACGUAGGGCUGAAAGGCCACCAUGCCUAAGAAAUCAGGGCCCAUGGAAAAAUGACCGUAAUUAUUAAUAAAGUGAGCACUUUUUUUUUUAAUGUUUUAUUUAUUUUCGAGAGAGAGAGCAUGAGCAGGGGAGGGGCAGAGAGAGG